GCGGAAGGCUGGAUGGCCGCGGGGGUCCGCCCCCGAGGAAAGUCCGGACUCCACAAGACAACGGUGCCGGGUAACGCCCGGCCGGGGAAACCCGAGGGAAAGCGCCACAGAGAACAGACCGCCCCGCAGCUGCGAAAGCGUCUGCACGGGUAAGGGUGAAACGGUGGAGUAAGAGCCCACCGCGGGGCUGGCAACAGCCCCGGCAUGGCAAGCCCCACCGGGAGCAAUGCCGAAUAGGGAUCGCGCGCGGGGGUCUGGUCGGGCAACCGAUACCGCCCGCAGGGACGUCUUGCCCCAGCGAUCCGGGUUGGCAGCUUGAGGUGUCGUGGCAACACGGCGCCCAGACGAAUGGUCAUCCAAGGGGGCGACCCCUGGACAGAAUCCGGCUUACAGGCCUUCCGCGCAU
rfam:Roseobacter sp. AzwK-3b 1103032000584, whole genome shotgun sequence.